rnacentral:rRNA from 1 species
GACGAACGCUGGCGGCGUGCCUAAUACAUGCAAGUAGAACGCACAGUUUAUACCGUAGCUUGCUACACCAUAGACUGUGAGUUGCGAACGGGUGAGUAACGCGUAGGUAACCUGCCUGGUAGCGGGGGAUAACUAUUGGAAACGAUAGCUAAUACCGCAUAAUAUUGAUUAUUGCAUGAUAAUUGAUUGAAAGAUGCUAUUGCAUCACUACCAGAUGGACCUGCGUUGUAUUAGCUAGUAGGUGAGGUAACGGCUCACCUAGGCGACGAUACAUAGCCGACCUGAGAGGGUGAUCGGCCACACUGGGACUGAGACACGGCCCAGACUCCUACGGGAGGCAGCAGUAGGGAAUCUUCGGCAAUGGACGAAAGUCUGACCGAGCAACGCCGCGUGAGUGAAGAAGGGUGUCGGAUCGUAAAGCUCUGUUGUAAGAGAAGAACGGGUGUGAGAGUGGAAAGUUCACACUGUGACGGUAUCUGACCAGAAAGGGACGGCUAACUACGUG